GGCUUAGUAGCCGAGUGGAUAGCGCGUCGAGCUCUUAACUCGAAGAAUUGCGGGUUCGAAUCUCCGUCUCCGAAGUUA